rnacentral:rRNA from 1 species
UACGUAGGGGGCAAGCGUUGUCCGGAAUCAUUGGGCGUAAAGCGCGUGUAGGCGGUCCGGUAAGUCCGCUGUGAAAGUCGGGGGCUCAACCCUCGGAUGCCGGUGGAUACUGUCGGGCUAGAGUACGGAAGAGGCAAGUGGAAUUCCUGGUGUAGCGGUGGAAUGCGCAGAUAUCAGGAGGAACACCCAUAGCGAAGGCAGCUUGCUGGGACGUUACUGACGCUAAGGCGCGAAAGCGUGGGGAGCGAACAGG